rnacentral:rRNA from 1 species
AGUGAACGCUGGCGGUAGGCCUAACACAUGCAAGUCGAACGGCAGCACAGUAAGAGCUUGCUCUUACGGGUGGCGAGUGGCGGACGGGUGAGGAAUACAUCGGAAUCUACUUUUUCGUGGGGGAUAACGUAGGGAAACUUACGCUAAUACCGCAUACGACCUACGGGUGAAAGCAGGGGAUCUUCGGACCUUGCGCGAUUGAAUGAGCCGAUGUCGGAUUAGCUAGUUGGCGGGGUAAAGGCCCACCAAGGCGACGAUCCGUAGCUGGUCUGAGAGGAUGAUCGACCAACCUGGAAAUGGGAAACGGUCCAGACUCCUAGGGGAGGCAGCGGGGGGGAAUUUUGGAAAAGGGGGGCAAGCCUGAUCCAGCCAUACCGGGGGGGGGAAGAAGGCCUUCGGGUUGUAAAGCCCUUUUGUGGGGAAAAAAAAGCAGCAGGUUAAUACCCCGCUGUUCUGACGGUACCCAAAGAAUAAGCACCGGCUAACUUCGU